CCCCUCUCUGAGUUGCACCUGGAGAGUUUCCAGUCCUCUACCAGUCUCGGCUACAGGAGGGAGAGUCAAGCAGAGGCCUGUCCAUUCCAUUCCUAGUUUGGCCAAUGGCUAGCGAGUGGAAGGCAAUCUGCUACAAGU
rnacentral:snoRNA from 1 species